GACGAACGCUGGCGGCGUGCUUAACACAUGCAAGUCGAACGGAAAGGCCCUGCUUUUGUGGGGUGCUCGAGUGGCGAACGGGUGAGUAACACGUGAGUAACCUGCCCUUGACUUUGGGAUAACUUCAGGAAACUGGGGCUAAUACCGGCUAGGAGCUCCUGCUGCAUGGUGGGGGUUGGAAAGUUUCGGCGGUUGGGGAUGGACUCGCGGCUUAUCAGCUUGUUGGUGGGGUAGUGGCUUACCAAGGCUUUGACGGGUAGCCGGCCUGAGAGGGUGACCGGACACAUUGGGACUGAGAUACGGCCCAGACUCGUACGGGAGGCAGCAGUGGGGAAUAUUGCACAAUGGGCGGAAGCCUGAUGCAGCAACGCCGCGUGCGGGAAGACGGCCUUCGGGUUGUAAACCGAUGUCGCCUGAGACGAAGCGUGAGUGACGGUAAUGGGUAAAGAAGCACCGGCUAACUACGUG
rnacentral:rRNA from 1 species